rnacentral:rRNA from 1 species
GAUGAACGCUAGCGAUAGGCUUAACACAUGCAAGUCGAGCGGCAGCAUGGUCUUAGCUUGCUAAGACUGAUGGCGACCGGCGCACGGGUGCUUAACGCGUAUGCAACUUGCCUCACAGAGGGGGAUAACCCGUCGAAAGACGGACUAAUACCGCGUACACUCUAUUUUGGGCAUCCAAGGUAGAGGAAAUGAAAUUCGCUGUGAGAUAGGCAUGCGUCCCAUUAGCUAGUUGGUGAGGUAACGGCUCACCAAGGCGACGAUGGGUAGGGGAACUGAGAGGUUGAACCCCCACACUGGUACUGAGACAAGGACCAGACUCCUACGGGAGGCAGCAGUGAGGAAUAUUGGUCAAUGGGCGAGAGCCUGAACCAGCCAAGUCGCGUGAAGGAUGACUGUCUUAUGGAUUGUAAACUUCUUUUGUAGGGGAAUAAAGAGGGGCACGUGUGCCCCAGUGAAUGUACCCUACGAAUAAGCAUCGGCUAACUCCGUG